rnacentral:lncRNA from 1 species
UGGCACAAGGUGUCGAUUUAGAUUACCGAGUUAUUUGAAACGUGUUUCAUUUGUUCUUUACAAAGUGUUAGAUACAAUUUCACUGCACAUAAGAAUUUUCUAGCUCAGUUAAAACGUAUUUUCAAGCAUACAAACCACAACUAAACAACGCGAAUGUAAAUAUAUACGACUGAGUCAUACAUCCUAAAAAAGGCAAGCAACGGACUGGUAAUAGGUAGGCCUGUUUUAGAGACUGUGGUAAACUACAGUUCAUUAUUACAUGCGAAAUGUUUUUGCUUCGGAGCAGAACACUGAUCUAUCUCUGUCUUCAUAUCUUUUUCUUCUCAGAGCUGGAGUGUGAUGCCUUGCUCCUAUUCAUGGCUAUUGACCUACAAUUUUUGAACAAUCUAAAUUAGUUAUUCAUUCAAUGGGAAAUCAGAAGUGGGGAUUACUUUACCAAGAUCAUUAGCAAGUUUAUGAGGGAAAAGAAAGCGAUAUAACUUCCAAAAGCAAACGUAAGAAUGAAGUACAUAGUAUUAUACUCCCUCCGUUCCAAAAUAGAUGACUCAAAUUUGUACUAACUUUAGUACAAAGUUAGUACAAAGUUGGGUCAUCUAUUUUGGAACGGAGGAGUAGCUGGGAAAGUAGGAACAUGAGAUGCGGCGUGUUUUAGAAAAAAAUGGUCGAGUCCCUGAUCCUAGUAACAUGAGCUGAGAUUAUUUUGUCAGGGACUCAUGGUCAUGGCUGUAUAUAAUUUUCACAAGCAACAAACCUAUGUGACAACCUACCUUCGAUCACAAAGCUAUAUAAUCUAUAUAAUAGACAAAAAUGGAGCAUUCGAUAACUUAAAUACCUAUUUUUCCUACCAUAGUGUGAUGAGGCUCUGAAACUGCACAUACAGGGAUUUUCAUGGGACCAUUCAGGACUUUGAAAAAAGAUACAAAAACUGCAUUCAGCUCUUCCAUCUAAGGCUACCUCAAUAAUAAACCAAUACUAAAUGAUAGAAUAAUCUGAAAAUCGUAUAUGAUAACAAUGCAAAAUAAUCUUGCAGCACCUCCUAAAACUGUAAAAGCUGUGAAAUUGGCAGUCAACUUACUAUCAACGAGAAACACCACACUAUGAUAACAAUGCAAAAUAAUCUUGCAGCACCUCCUAAAACUAUAAAAGCUGUGAAAUUGGCAGUCAACUUACUAUCAACGGGAAACACCACACUGCACUAUAUUUUUCCAGGAACAAGAUGCUAAUAUGCUUUCCCGUUCCCCACUGCAAGGAUGCACGUCGUCUCCCCAUUCUCCACCGCGAGGACGCCGACGCGUCCCUGUUCUCCACCGCCAGCACGCCCAACUCCUCCCCUAUCUCCACCACAAGGACGUUGGGCGCCUCUUCGUUUGCCACCCUGAGCACCGCAUUGAGGUCGUCUAGCAAUGUACUAUCAAGGCAACUGCUUUUCAUUGUCCCCCUCUAUUAAUUUUUCGCCGCACACACCCCUUGUUAUUCUACACCUAGGACGGCUGUUCUUGUAGAUUUUGCCGACCACCAUGUUCUGCAGUAAAUAGUAUGGCUGCAGUCCAAUGUGUUGAUUUUCAGCAGGCCAAUGUGUUGAUUGACUAAUUUUGUGC